rnacentral:rRNA from 1 species
GAUGAACGCUAGCUACAGGCUUAACACAUGCAAGUCGCGGGGCAGCAUGGGGGUUGCUUGCAAUCCCCGAUGGCGACCGGCGCACGGGUGAGUAACGCGUAUCCAACCUGCCCUUCACCACGGGAUAACCCGGCGAAAGUCGGACUAAUACCGUAUGUUGUCCAUUGACGGCAUCCGAUUUGGACGAAAGGCUUGGCGGUGAGGGAUGGGGAUGCGUCCGAUUAGCCAGACGGCGGGGUAACGGCCCACCGUGGCUACGAUCGGUAGGGGUUCUGAGAGGAAGGUCCCCCACACUGGAACUGAGACACGGUCCAGACUCCUACGGGAGGCAGCAGUGAGGAAUAUGGGUCAAUGGGCGUAAGCCUGAACCAGCCAAGUAGCGUGCAGGAUGACGGCCCUAUGGGUUGUAAACUGCUUUUAUGCGGGGAUAAAGUGGCCCACGUGUGGGCUUUUGCAGGUACCGCAUGAAUAAGGACCGGCUAAUUCCGUG